AACAGGAUUAGAUACCCUGGUAGUCCACGCCGUAAACGAUGAUCACUCGCUGUAUGCGAUACACAGUAUGCGGCCAAGCGAAAGCAUUAAGUGAUCCACCUGGGGAGUACGAUCGCAAGGUUGAAACUCAAAGGAAUUGACGGGGGCCCGCACAAGCGGAGGAACAUGUGGUUUAAUUCGAUGAUACGCGAGGAACCUUACCUGGGCUUAAAUGGGGAACGACAGCUGCCGAAAGGUGGCCUUCUUCGGACGUUCUUCAAGGUGCUGCAUGGUUGUCGUCAGCUCGUGCCGUGAGGUGUCGGGUUAAGUCCCAUAACGAGCGCAACCCUUAUCGUUAGUUGCCAGCGGGUCAAGCCGGGGACUCUAGCGAGACUGCCACCGUAAGGUGAGAGGAAGGUGGGGAUGACGUCAAAUCAGCACGGCCCUUAUGUCCAGGGCUACACACGUGUUACAAUGGCCGAUACAAAGGGCAGCUACCAGGCGGCUGGAUGCUAAUCUCUAAAGUCGGUCUCAGUUCGGAUCGAAGUCUGCAACCCGACUUCGUGAAGCUGGAUUCGCUAGUAAUCGCGCAUCAGCCAUGGCGCGGUGAAUACGUUCCCGGGCCUUGUACACACCGCCCGUCAAACAAUGGAAGCUGGGGGUACCUGAAGUAUGUAACCGCAAGGAGCGUCCUAGGGUAAAAACUAGUAACUGGUGUUUAAGUCGUAACAAGGUAACC
rnacentral:rRNA from 1 species